CAUUUCCUUCUCCAAUGCAUGAAAGUGAAAAGUGAAAGUGAAGUCGCUCAGUCCUGUCUGGCUCUUAGCAAUCCCAUGGACUGCAGCCCACCAGGCUCCUCCAUCCAUGGGAUUUAACAGGCAAGAGUACUAGAGUGGGGUGCCAUUGCCUUCUCCGCUUUGCAGGCUAGGAAACCAAAAUUCAGAUGACCUAACCGGCCCAGGAUCACUUAAUUACACAGCUUGGAAAUGGUCGACUCAACAAAGAAUGUGGUCUUUGCUUCCUGGGGAGCUGCAGAAAAAUCCAGAUUUUCCAAACCCUUGGAGAUGUGAUGGAACCUGGCUGAUGGACACAUGGCUGGUAUUGUAACCUAGAGCCCCCAGCUCCUCUCCUGU
ensembl:lncRNA